CCUUCCCGAAAAAUCUCUUGUAACCUGGAGAGCCCUAGCUCCUUCUGUGAGGUCAGAAGUGUUGUUGUGACACCACCUGCUUCUCAGAUAUUCCUUCAGUACAUCUAGGGUUUGUAACUGGCCUUUAAUUCAGAGUAAACAGCCAUUUUUUAGGGAGAGCAAAGAGGAUGAAAGGAUCCAAGAAGAGGAGAAGGAAGCUGCCCUUCUGUCAUGGUAUAAAAAAGGAAGAAAUACAUGGUCCACUGGAGAGCUCAGUGAAUCCUGGGAACCUAUUGAGGUUGAUGUUUAACUGGACCUCAAGCCAUUCCUCUCACUGCCCAUCCUCCUAAGUAUGAUGUAUGGCCUGAAGAAAUAAUCAUGGUGGGAACACAGCUUUUCUGAUGUCUCGAAAUUUUUGGAUAAACUAAGGAUUUGGAAGUUCAUCAUUGGAAGUAGGUACAUAAUAUUUACAUUUUUAUAUUCAACCUUAGGUGGGACCCUUGGGUUGCCAAAAUCAUUGCAAAAAAACAUGAAAUUGGAAAACAGAAUUUUUCACUUCACAUUCAGGAAUAUAUAAAGUCACCUAUCAAGGAAUGUACAAUGAGAAACUGUAAUGAAAUAUGAAUUCAAUUAAAGGAUUGUAGGGAAAAUGCUGGCCUUUGGGAAACAGAGAUAACCUAGGAUAUUGAACUGUAUGUCACAGUAAUGGACCUGGUAAUAAAAUUAUUAUCCAGAGGAAUCUCUUCCACUCCAUGUUCCGAGAUCUUUUCUACCCAUGCAAAGCUCCUGAUUAUCUUUUCCUUUCAGAGCAUGUAACCACUAAGGAAAUAAAGAGAAGUUUCUAGCUUUAAAGACAUGUAGUAUGAAAAGGUUUCCAUUGUUUCACAGGAGACAAACCUUGCAAGGGCACCCUCGAAUCUGGUCAUUGAAAGGAAAACACUUUAGCAGGUAGGCCAUGGCAAUUCUCAGUGACAUCACCAUUAGGCCUAUCUAAAAAAAUCUGUUGUAUCCUGGAGAUCCCUAGUUUCUUCUGUGAUGUAACAAGUGUUGUCCUGACAGAAGUUGCCUCUCCAGUAGUCCUUCAGUACCUCUAGGGUUUACUAUUUGGCCUCUAAUUCAGCAUAAACAGCCUUUGGGAAGGAGAAAAAAGAGGAUGAAGUGAUCAAAGAUGGGAAGAAGGAAGCUGGCCUUCUGCUUUGUUAUAAAAAAAAAAAAGAAAUAUGUGGU